AUUGUAAAAGCAGAUUUUUGCACAAAAUUUAGAAUUUUGAGGGUUAAUACAAUU
rnacentral:tRNA from 1 species